AACGUAGGACACGAGCGUUAUCCGGAGUUACUGGGCGUAAAGGGCGUUUAGGCGGGUGAUUAAGUUCGCUAUGAAAGCGCCGGGCUAAACCCGGCGAGGCUGGCGGAUACUGGUCAUCUGGAGUGAGCGAGAGGGAGGUAGAAUUCCGCGUGUAGUGGUGAAAUGCGUAGAGAUGCGGAGGAAUACCAGUGGCGAAGGCGGCCUCCUGGCGCUCAACUGACGCUGAAGCGCGAAAGCAUGGGGAGCGAACGGG
rnacentral:rRNA from 1 species